GACAGAGGUGCCGAGCGUUAGGCGGAAUUACUGGGCGUAAAGAGUGUGUAGGCGGUGUUCCAAGUCUGGUGUGAAAUCUCCCGGCUUAACUGGGAGGGUGCAUUAGAAACUGGAAUGCUAGAGGAUGGGAGAGGUAAGCGGAAUUCCUGGUGUAGCGGUGAAAUGCGUAGAUAUCAGGAGGAACACCUGUGGUGUAGACAGCUUACUGGACCAUUUCUGACGCUGAGACACGAAAGCGUGGGUAGCAAACAGG
rnacentral:rRNA from 1 species